CUGGAGAGCUACCCUCCUGUAGGUUUUCACUCCAACCCUGUUCCUGGAGAGCUACCCUCCUGUAGGUUUUCACUCCAACCCUGUUCCUGGAGAGCUACCCUCCUGUAGGUUUUCACUCCAACCCUGUUCCUGGAGAGCUACCCUCCUGUAGGUUUUCACUCCAACCCUGUUCCUGGAGAGCUACCCUCCUGUAGGUUUUCACUCCAACCCUGUUCCUGGAGAGCUACCCUCCUGUAGGUUUUCACUCCAACCCUGUUCCUGGAGAGCUACCCUCCUGUAGGUUUUCACUCCAACCCUGUUCCUGGAGAGCUACCCUCCUGUAGGUUUUCACUCCAACCCUGUUCCUGGAGAGCUACCCUCCUGUAGGUUUUCACUCCAACCCUGUUCCUGGAGAGCUACCCUCCUGUAGGUUUUCACUCCAACCCUGUUCCUGGAGAGCUACCCUUUUCACUCCAACCCUGUUC